rnacentral:rRNA from 1 species
GACGAACGCUGGCGGCGUGCUUAACACAUGCAAGUCGAACGGAAAGGCCCUGCUUUUGUGGGGUGCUCGAGUGGCGAACGGGUGAGUAACACGUGAGUAACCUGCCCUUGACUUUGGGAUAACUUCAGGAAACUGGGGCUAAUACCGGAUAGGAGCUCCUGCUGCAUGGUGGGGGUUGGAAAGUUUCGGCGGUCGGGGAUGGACUCGCGGCUUAUCAGCUUGUUGGUGGGGUAGUGGCUUACCAAGGCUUUGCCGGGUAGCCGGCCUGGGAGGGUGACCGGCCACCUUGGGAGUGAAAUACGGCCCAGACUCCGACGGGGGGGAGCAGUGGGGAAUAUUGCACAAUGAGCGGAAGCCUGAUGCAGCGACGCCGCGUGCGGGAUAACGGCCUUCGGGUUGUAAACCGCUUUCGGCGGUGACGAAGCGUGAGUGACGGUAAUGGGUAAAGAAGCACCGGAUAACUGCGUG